rfam:Ceriporiopsis subvermispora B unplaced genomic scaffold CERSTscaffold_41, whole genome shotgun sequence.
UCCCUGGUAGUAUAUCGGAUAGUACAUGCGCCUGUCACGCGCAAGAGCCGGGUUCGACUCCCGGCUGGGGAG